CUCCGGUUGACCUUUAAGGACCCGACUGCUAUCAGAGUGGGACUAAGCCAUGUUAGUCAACGUAGCAAUACGUGGCAUACGGCUCAGUAACACGUAGUCAACAUGCCCAGGGGACGAGGAUAACCUCGGGAAACUGAGGAUAAACCUCGAUAGGCCAUGAUUUCUGGAAUGAUUCUUGGCUCAAACCUAUAUGGCCCCUGGAUUGGACUGCGGCCGAUCAGGCUGUUGGUGAGGUAAUGGCCCACCAAACCUAUUACCGGUACGGGCUCUGAGAGGAGGAGCCCGGAGAUGGGCACUGAGACAAGGGCCCAGGCCCUAUGGGGCGCAGCAGGCGCGAAACCUCUGCAAUAGGCGAAAGCUUGACAGGGUUACUCUGAGUGAUUUCCGCUAAGGGAAUCUUUUGGCACCUCUAAAAAUGGUGCAGAAUAAGGGGUGGGCAAGUCUGGUGUCAGCCGCCGCGGUAAUACCAGCACCCCGAGUGGUCGGGACGAUUAUUGGGCCUAAAGCAUCCGUAGCCGGUCCUGCAAGUCUUCCGUUAAAUCCAGCUGCUCAACAGAUGGGCUGCGGGAGAUACUACAGGGCUAGGAGGCGGGAGAGGCAAGCGGUACUUUAUGGGUAGGGGUAAAAUCCGCUGAUCCAUAGAAGACCACCAGUGGCGAAGGCGGCUUGCCAGAACGCGCUCGACGGUGAGGGAUGAAAGCUGGGGGAGCAAACCGGAUUAGAUACCCGGGUAGUCCCAGCUGUAAACGAUGCAGACUCGGUGAUGGGUUGGCCUCGCGCCUGCCCAGUGCCGCAGGGAAGCCGUUAAGUCUUCCAAGUGGGGAGUACGGUCGCAAGACUGAAACUUAAACCUUUUAAGGGGGGAGCA
rnacentral:rRNA from 1 species